rnacentral:rRNA from 1 species
GAAGAACGCUGGCGGCGUGCUUAACACAUGCAAGUCGAACGAGUGGCGAACGGGUGAGUAACACGUGAGUAACCUGCCUUACACAAGGGGAUAGCCUUUGGAAACGAAGAAUAAUACCCUAUAGUGUAAGAUGGACUUGCGUCUGAUUAGCUAGUUGGUGAGAUAAAGGCCCACCAAGGCAACGAUCAGUAGCCGGCUUGAGAGAGUGUACGGCCACAGUGGGACUGAGACACGGCCCAGACUCCUACGGGAGGCAGCAGUGGGGGAUAUUGCACAAUGGGCGAAAGCCUGAUGCAGCGACGCCGCGUGGGGGAUGAAGGCUUUCGGGUUGUAAACCUCUUUCGCUAUCGAACGGGUAGGUGGAGAAGAAGCGCCGGCUAACUACGUGCCAGCAGCCGCGGUAAUAC